GAGUAACGCGUAUGCAACCUACCUAUCAGAGGGAAUAACCGGCGAAAGUCGGACUAAUACCGCAUAAAACAGGGGCACCGCAUGGUGAUAUUUGUUAAAGAAAUUCGCUGAUAGAUGGGCAUGCGUUCCAUUAGGUAGUUGGUGAGGUAACGGCUCACCAAGCCGACGAUGGAUAGGGAACUGAGAGGUUGGUCCCCCACACUGGUACUGAGACACGGACCAGACUCCUACGGGAGGCAGCAGUGAGGAAUAUUGGUCAAGUGGGCGGGAGCCUGAACCAGCCAAGUCGCGUAGAAGGAAGAAGGAUCUAUGGUUCGUAAACUUCUUUUGCAGGGGAAUAAAGUGCAGGACGUGUCCUGUUUUGUAUGUACCCUGAGAAUAAGGAUCGGCUAACUCCGUGCCAGCCGCGGC
rnacentral:rRNA from 1 species